rnacentral:tRNA from 1 species
GGUUCCAUGGUGUAGUGGUUAUCACAUCUGCUUUACACGCAGAAGAUCCUGGGCUCGAUUCCCAGUGGAACCA